GACGAACGCUGGCGGCGUGCUUAACACAUGCAAGUCGAACGGAAAGACCCUGCUUUUGUGGGGUGCUCGAGUGGCGAACGGGUGAGUAACACGUGAGUAACCUGCCCUUGACUUUGGGAUAACUUCAGGAAACUGGGGCUAAUACCGGAUAGGAGCUCCUGCUGCAUGGUGGGGGUUGGAAAGUUUCGGCGGUUGGGGAGGGACUCGCGGCUUAUCAGCUUGUUGGUGGGGUAGUGGCUUACCAAGGCUUUGACGGGUAGCCGGCCUGAGAGGGUGACCGGCCACAUUGGGACUGAGAUACGGCCCAGACUCCUACGGGAGGCAGCAGUGGGGAAUAUUGCACAAUGGGCGGAAGCCUGAUGCAGCAACGCCGCGUGCGGGAUGACGGCCUUCGGGUUGUAAUCCGCUUUCGCCUGUGACGAAGCGUGAGUGACGGUAAUGGGUAAAGAAGCACCGGCUAACUACGUG
rnacentral:rRNA from 1 species